GACGAACGCUGGCGGCGUGCUUAACACAUGCAAGUCGAACGGAAAGGCCCUGCUUUUGUGUGGUUCUCGAGUGGCGAACGGGUGAGUAACACGUGAGUAACCUGCCCUUGACUUUGGGAUAACUUCAGGAAACUGGGGCUAAUACCGGAUAGGAGCUCCUGCUGCAUGGUGGGGGUUGGAAAGUUUCGGCGGUUGGGGAUGGACUCGCGGCUUAUCAGCUUGUUGGGGGGGUAGUGGCUUACCAAGGCUUUGGAGGGUAGCCGGCCUGAGAGGGUGACCGGCCACAUUGGGACUACGAUACGGCCCAGACUCCAACGGGAGGCAGCAGUGGGGAAUAUUGCCCAAUGGGCGGAAGCCUGAUGAAGAAACGCCGCGUGCGGGAUGACGGCCUUCGGGUGGUAAACCGCUUUCGCCUGUGACGAAGCGUGAGUGACGGUAAUGGGUAAAGAAGCACCGGCUAACUACGUG
rnacentral:rRNA from 1 species